rnacentral:rRNA from 1 species
AGUGAACGCUGGCGGUAGGCCUAACACAUGCAAGUCGAACGGCAGCACAGUAAGAGCUUGCUCUUACGGGUGGCGAGUGGCGGACGGGUGAGGAAUACAUCGGACUCUACUUUUUCGUGGGGGAUAACGUAGGGAAACUUACGCUAAUCCCGCAUACGACCUACGGGUGAAAGCAGGGGAUCUUCGGACCUUGCGCGAUUGAAUGAGCCGAUGUCGGAUUAGCUAGUUGGCGGGGUAAAGGCCCACCAAGGCGACGAUCCGUAGCUGGUCUGAGAGGAUGAUCAGCCACACUGGAACUGAGACACGGUCCAGACUCCUACGGGAGGCAGCAGUGGGGAAUAUUGGACAAUGGGCGCAAGCCUGAUCCAGCCAUACCGCGUGGGUGAAGAAGGCCUUCGGGUUGUAAAGCCCUUUUGUUGGGAAAGAAAAGCAGCAGGUUAAUACCCCGCUGUUCUGACGGUACCCAAAGAAUAAGCACCGGCUAACUUCGUG